rnacentral:rRNA from 1 species
GACGAACGCUGGCGGUGUGCUUAACACAUGCAAGUCGAACGAAGAGCGAUGGAAGCUUGCUUCUAUCAAUCUUAGUGGCGAACGGGUGAGUAACGCGUAAUCAACCUGCCCUUUAGAGGGGGACAACAGUUGGAAAAGACUGCUAAUACCGCAUACGAUCUAAUCUCGGCAUCGAGGAUAGAUGAAAGGUGGCCUCUACAUGUUAGCUAUCACUGAAGGAGGGGAUUGCGUCUGAUUAGCUCGUUGGAGGGGUAACGGCCCACCAAGGGGAGGAACAGUAGCCGGGCUGGGAGGAGGAACGGCCACACUGGGACUUAAACACGGGCCAGACUCCUACGGGAGGCAGCAGUGGGGGAACUUCCGCAAUGGAAGAAAGUCUGACUGCGGAACGCCGCGUGAGCGAUGACGGCCUUCGGGUUGUAAAGCUCUGUUAGUCGGGACGAAAGGCCUUCUUGCGAAUAGUGAGAAGGAUUGACGGUACCGGAAUAGUAAGCCACGGCUAACUACGUG